rnacentral:tRNA from 1 species
GAGGGUAUAGCUUAGUGGCAGAGUGUGUGCUUAGCAUGCACGAGGUCCUGGGUUCAAUUCCCAGUACCUCCA